rnacentral:rRNA from 1 species
CCUACGGGUGGCACCAGUGGGGAAUAUUACACAAUGGGCGCAAGCCUGAUGCAGCCAUGCCGCGUGUAUGAAGAAGGCCUUCGGGUUGUAAAGUACUUUCAGCGGGGAGGAAGGUGUUGAGGUUAAUAACCACAGCAAAUGACGUUACCCGCAGAAGAAGCACCGGCUAACUCCGUGCCAGCAGCCGCGGUAAUACGGAGGGUGCAAGCGUUAAUCGGAAUUACUGGGCGUAAAGCGCACGCAGGCGGUCUGUCAAGUCGGAUGUGAAAUCCCCGGGCUCAACCUGGGAACUGCAUUCGAAACUGGCAGGCUAGAGUCUUGUAGAGGGGGGUAGAAUUCCAGGUGUAGCGGUGAAAUGCGUAGAGAUCUGGAGGAAUACCGGUGGCGAAGGCGGCCCCCUGGACAAAGACUGACGCUCAGGUGCGAAAGCGUGGGGAGCAAACAGGAUUAGAUACCCGUGUAGUC